AACUACCUAGGGUGUGCGAUUGGAUUGCUUUAAUUAUCCAACACUUAGUACACGGGAUGCCGCGUCAAGUGGAUGGCUGCUGAGCCGGCUCGACCGGAUAGCAAAAGUUCGUUGUAGGCGACCCACCUAUCUUCUAUUGAUAGGGUACUUACAGUAAUCCGCCGGCACCUUGGGAGUUU
rnacentral:other from 1 species